rnacentral:rRNA from 1 species
GACGAACGCUGGCGGCGUGCUUAACACAUGCAAGUCGAACGGAAAGGCCUCAGCUUGCUGGGGUACUCGAGUGGCGAACGGGUGAGUAACACGUGGGUGAUCUGCCUUGCACUCUGGGAUAAGCUUGGGAAGCUGGGUCUAAUACCGGAUAUGAACUGCCUUUAGUGUGGUGGUUGGAAAGUUUUUUCGGUGCAAGAUGAGCUCGCGGCCUAUCAGCUUGUUGGUGGGGUAAUGGCCUACCAAGGCGUCGACGGGUAGCCGGCCUGAGAGGGUGUACGGCCACAUUGGGACUGAGAUACGGCCCAGACUCCUACGGGAGGCAGCAGUGGGGAAUAUUGCACAAUGGGCGGAAGCCUGAUGCAGCGACGCCGCGUGGGGGAUGACGGCCUUCGGGUUGUAAACUCCUUUCGACAGGGACGAAGCUUUUUGUGACGGUACCUGUAUAAGAAGCACCGGCUAACUACGUG